AUGAAGAAAUUUAGCAACACUUUUCCCGCAGGAUCUCUUGCAAGAACAAAUAGUCAAUUUGUUAGAACUUGGUUAGUAGUGAAUUGGGAACAAGAAGAAAAAGAAAAGGCUGGUGCUUCCCUUGUUGAGGUAAGAGCAAAUGAUCUUAUUCGGGAUUUCCUAAGAAUUGAGUUAGUCAAGUCCACUAUUUCGUACACACGAAAAAGGUAUGGUAGGACAAGUGCACUACCGAUUCCGCAUAAUAGGUUAGAUCGCGCCAAUAUCAAUUCUUUUUAUUCCAAGGCGAAGAUUGAAUCACUUAGCCAACAUCCAGAAGCUAUUGGCACUUUGUUGAAUCGAAAUAAAGAAUACCACUCUUUGAUGAUUUUGUCGGCAUCCAACUGUUCUUGA
rnacentral:rRNA from 1 species